CUAUUGUGCCGUCUUGUGUCAUGAGAUGGUGAAGGCAGUAAUCCGCAACUCUUGCAUUAAGGUGAGGCCCAUCCAACAAGAUGUUGGUUGCUUUAAGGUUUCCAUGUGGAACCUCUCAAUCAAAAUGGAGGUAGUUCAAGCCACGUGCAACAUCAACUGAUAUUUUGAGUCUUUGAGGCCAGGUGAUGGAACUCAUGGAGGAACAUGAUGCGUGUUUGUUUGGGGAUAUCCUGCUCAGUUCAUUUUGUCCAUUGAUUCUUAUAGUCUCCACACCCAAUCAUGAAUACAAUGUGAUUCUCCAGAACUGAGAACUCUACUCCUCAAUACCAGGAAGAGGACCCUGAUGAGAAGAGCCAGCAGCAAUCUUGCGAAUUCCGCAAUCACGAUCACAAGUUCGAGUGGACUAGACAGCAAUUUGGCCAAUGGGCAUCUGAACUAGCUUCUAGGCAUAAUUAUGGUGUUGAGUUCAGUGGUGUUGGGGGAGAGCCUAACAAAGAACCAGGAUUUGCUUCCCAAAUUGCUGUUUUUAGAAGAAAAGAUAACAGUCCCAUGAAAGUAGAUUUUACUGAACACUGUGAUGUUAUUUGGGAAUGGAGUAGUAGUAAUAAUUCAAGAUCUUAACUGUAGAUGCUUUCUAACAAACUCAUUUUUGCUUCAUUUUGGUUAGUGAAGUGGAUUCAAGAAGCUAUAGAAAUAUGCUCCUCCAUUCAUACCUCUUCUUUUCCCCUUCUAAAUAAACAAGAUUUGCUUCACCAUUUCUUUUGCUUAUACUGAGUGCAGAUUGUUCUGGAAAGUCA